ACAAUUAGUCAUUGACACAUCACUAGGCAAUAAGCAAUAUAACAAUGCAUACAACAAAAUGACAAUAAUUACAAGUAGAAAAGUAGCAAGGUUAAAGGGACACUAUACUCACCAGAACAACUACAGCUUAUUGAAUUUGUUCUGGUGAGUAGAAUCAUUACCUUCAGGCUGUUUGCUGUAAACACUGUCUUUUCAGAGAAAAUGCAGUGUUUACAUUACAGCCUAGUGAUAACUUCACUGGCCACUCCUCAAAUAGCUGUUAGAGAUCCUUCCUGGGUCAUGGAUACCUAAAAUGCUUCCAAACGUUCAGUAUCUCCUCCCUCUGCAUGCAGACACUGAACUUUCCUCAUAGAGAUUCAUUGAUUCAAUUCAUCUCUAUGAGGAGAUGCUGAUUGGCCAGGGCUGUGUUUGAAUCAUGCUGGCUCUGCCCCUGAUCUGCCUCCUUGUCAGUCUCAGCCAAUCCUAUGGGGAAGCAUUGUGAUUGGAUCAGACUUCCACUUCUGAUGAUGUCAGCAGACUGCUUGUUUUUCUGAGUCUAACAGCAUGCAGAGUUACAGCUUCUGGCAUGAAUACAGUAUGAUUUUGCUAUAUUUAUGGAGGCAUGAGGGGCCCAAGGGGGCUAGAUGGUGGUUUUAACACUAUAGCAUCAGGAAUACAUGUUUGUGUUCCUGACCCUAUAGUGAUCCUUUAAUCUAGUGAGGGGGGUAAUGAGGAGAUAUGGCAAAGACUUCACACAAUUUGUAAAUGUAGUCACACUGCCAGUUACAUUAGGAUGGCAUUUAUCUAAAUUAUGUAAUAUCUAAUUGGGGUAUUAGUAUAUUAAGCAUGUAUCAGCCCCAUCUGGAGUUAAGUAGUGUAUUAUUGGUUAAAGUGGUCAAAUAGUAUAUUUCAAAAUUUACUGCCUGAAAAAAUCUACCCUCCUCGACCAGUAGCCCUGGUCUAAAUUCUCAAAUUGUCUAUUCUCACAUAUAACAAAUAGUUAGCUAACUACAGAUGGACAGAAACCAACAGCCACGCCAUGGCAAUUCAAUGUUUGCUGACUUUUGUGCAUAUACAUCUUAGCACAGUUACUAAAAGGACACUAGAACUCUUAUAUUUCAUAUUAAAUUGGUAGUGCACAGUCAACAAACAUAAAAAGAGUGAUAUACUAAAUUGUGAAUUGUCUUAACAUGAAAUCAAC